AAAAUACAGUACUAAUAAAAACUCCCGUUUGACUCCUUCAAUUCAGUCUCCCUUUACUUCAAUUCCCCGUCGCCAAUGGCAAUGACCGCGCCAUAGCGCUGCCGUUCACUACCGUAAUCACCGCUCCCUUUCCUAUUUCCGCUAUUCGAAAACCAAGUUCCCGCAUUUUCGCUUCAAUGAGAAUCGAGGCUUCUGAGAAAUUCUCCUGAUUCGAUUCUCGAUCGUAGGGUGGUAUUCUUCACUUCGUCAAGUAUCAUGGACUCGGAAACGGUUUCAUAUUUGUAAGUUCUGCAUAAACUGAUGAUAUUACACUGACAAUUUGGGAUUUUUGUUUUUAAGGCAGACUGCUUUCAGGUUUUCUGCUUAACUGAAGAUAAAAAUUCUAGCUUUUGAUUUCAAAUGGCUGUUCUAAGAAAAAUAACCGUUCUUCUGUUAAACGUAGAGAAACGAUAAUCUUUCUAUAAUGAUUAAACAUAUAACUUUAAUUGGUAUGUUCUUACUUAAAUUAAGAUUGACAUUGUCAGAUUUUUUGUUUAUGAUCCAUCAAAAUGCUGAUAUUUUCAAGUUAAGCGUAAAAGUGAGUUCUUCUGUUAUUUCCCCCCUCUUAUUUUCUAGGAGUUAAGUGUACCCUUAUUAAUUUAUAUUUAUAUAUGUAAACACGAAUGAGAAUUUGUAAAUUUGUUAGGACAGGUUUAAUAUCUCAUUCUAUCCUGACAUUUUUGGUCUGUUGAUUUGGUUAGGUUGACAAUCGAGCACUGUCGAAGCCAGACAUUUUGGGAUAAAAAAAUUUAGAUGCAAUUUUUAUGAAACACUAUACUGUUAAUUAAAACAAGUCAACACAUUACUACAAUCGUAGCUAUUUUUCAAAAUUUGAAAACUUCAUAUAAUUACAUUAUCAAUACUAUCAAAUAUAUUGAUCUCAAUAUAUGUCACUAAACUAUAACUUAACCAUUGAUCUCCCAUUCGAUUACACAAUUGAUUCUAGAUAUUCUUCAUUGCCGAACAUACUAUCUCUAUCGUAGUAAUAGCAACUGGAAUAAUUAACUUCAAUGUUUUAAGUCUAUAAACUAAUGGGCACACGUCAUUUUUUUGUCACAACUAACUUUUCUGCAAGAUUACUAAGACCUAGUAACCCUUUAAAAUUUUGAUGAGUGCGUAUAUCAAUAAUAUAUAUUUGAAUUUGCUCCAAUGUCAAGAUCUCUAUUGGUUUAAAAUUUUUUAGAUAAUAUUCACACAAUUGAAUUAACUUGUCUUUACUAAAAGUAGAAAAUGAAUUAUGCGGACACAAACAUGUAACACAAAAGAGUAAGUCACUAUUUAUCUAGGCAAAAUGAUCAUUCAACUCUUGUUCAAAAAACGUAAAACAAUUUACAUUUGCUCCUUCACCAAAGCAUUACCAAUAUCAAUUGUUUGAGUUCCAUAAGCAGUAAACUUUAUUGCAAAUAAACUUUGUUCAGUUUCCAUGUACACAUGGAAAUUCUCAGACUAGGCUCUAUAUAUAUCAGGGAUUCUAAUUUUUGCAUGUUUUCAGUCUCCUUUUUAUCCGACUGUAAAGGAGAAAAUUCUGAUUUCAAAUAUUCCUUUUAAUGGCACAUAAAAUGUGAAGAAUUUAUUUUAUUUCUAGUUUUUCCUUUCAUUUGCUUACUCCUUACUAUAUUUCAUUAAAAAAUAAGGCCUUCGCGUGUAAAAUAAAUAAGUGAUCCAGUGUUCACAAAUCUGUUUUUAUCCAGGUCCUGAUGGGUUCCUUUUUCUUUUUGUUGUCACAGAUGUGUGGCAAUGAAGUUCGAUGUUUCACUAGAUUCAUAGCCGAACUUGAAAAUUUACAAGAAAAGCAGAGUUUACAUAUUGUGUUUCUCAAUUAUUUUCAAGAUUUUCUUGCACUAGCAUAUGAUUGCCUCGUAAGAAUGAACCACCUCGCUGUCUGUUAUAAUAAUUUGUAAGGUUUAAGUAUUUAACAAUUUAUAUGACAUUUGUUGUUUGGAAGUGGUUAUGAUUUAAAACUGUUUUCUCUACUUUUUGAUGAUAUGAUGUGGUUAUGUUAAUGAAGAAAUUGCAAGUGUUUUAAGAAUUUUAGGUAGUUCAACUUUUGGUAGCUAAUAGGCAACUUCCUCCUUUAUUUGUUUUCUGAUUUAGAUCUUUUACGUUAAACAUAAUGUUGCAUGUCAUCCUGAGCAAAUCCUCCAUUGAGCUUUUGUUUAUGGAAGAAGGAUCCUGCAGCACAUAGAUCUUCUUAUAUGAAAUUACCCCUUGUGCUGAAACCCCAAUUCUUGAACUAAUUGUUGAUUUUACCAAAUGUUAGAAUGGAAUGUCCACUAGCUAUGAUACUUCCGUCAGUUAUGUUAUUUCAAGUGAUUGACUGAUUCUCAUAUUUCUAUUUCUAUUAAAUUUUGCACUUGAACAUAUUGCAGCUGAUUAAGUUUCAUGUACUGAUACUUUUGCAAGACUAAUAGAACCGUCAUCUGUUAAUUGGUCUUGCAGCUUCACUGUUCAUACAGGUGCUGGUUUAAUUGUUUCUGAAAUUCAAGAAGAUGGAAAGGUACUCUGAAUUUUCUUAAUGCAAUUUAGUAACUAAGUUAUUUUUCUUGUGGGCAGUAAAUGUUCUAGUAAAUACUCUUAGAGUCAACUUCCUUGUUUCUUUAUGUUAGAAAUGCUUUGCAGCAUAAGAAAAUAACCUUAUAGCUUCAUUGUUAUGUUAUUAAUUUACACGUCUUUGGUUAAAAUGUCGGAUUAAAGUUGUUAUGUGAGAGCCAAUUCUGAAGGCAUCUGAAGUUCCUACUAAAUUACCUGCAAAUAAAGAUCAAUCUGUAGUUAAGUCAAAAUUAGAUGUAGAUGGGAUAACCUGGAAUGUUACGUGUGUCAGUAUGGAAAAUCCUCAGUGUCACUUUUGGUACAGGAGUGAGUCAAGUGUGUAUCUCUAGAAGACUGUUUACUUGUUCAAUAGGUCAGUGAAGUUCUUGUGUGAUAUAAGAUGAUAUACACUCUCUUUUGGCUUAUUAUGCAACAGGAUUUGCAAGUUGAUGAACUAAAAUUUAGAAGUAAUUGGACCAGAAUUUGAACAUUAUUUGAUGUUCCCUGCCCGAACAAAUACAAGUGCCAGUUUACUUUUAAUUCAAGAAAACUGCAUCUGCUACUGGUAGUGCUAAGUAUAUAUCCUGUCAGAUCUACACUAAAUACAGAUAUGGUCGCGCACAGUUGUACGUGGAUGAUCACUGACAAUUGUGUGAUGUAGAAAUAAAUAUCUGGUGUCGGCUUAAUGUUUCAGGAUCUAUUAGAAAUUAAGAUUAAAGGGUUGCAAUGUACAAUUAUUAUGCACUUGCAAGAUUUGAUUGUAGUACAGUAUUAUCUUUUGCAGAAUUUGUUCUUCUCUCUACGCACCUCAAAAUGCAGGUUUGGAUAGAGGGGCAGGUUAGCAUUUAUCCAUUUCGGUUUAUGCAUUAUCUAAAUUAGUGGCACUAUCUUUAUCCAAAUACAUUCCUGCAACCAAAUUUCCCAACUCCACUAACUUUGCACUUUCCUCAGCCACCAAUCCCCUGCCAUAUUCACUGCUAUAUCGACCUUGGCACUCACCAUCGCCAAACUGUUUUCACUCUCUUCUCUGUUUACAAUUAUAUUCCUUGAAUUUUAAUGUGCACUUGCAUUAAUUUGUAUCUGUAAAUUGUAGUGCAUGUUCAUAACCUCUUCAUAUUCGGCUACUUCUGCAUCAUUCCCAUGUAUCAAUGUGUGCGCGCGUAAAUUUUCUUGUGAUUGGUACCUUAUAUCAAUGGAUUCUUUCAAUCCAUUAGACUAUUGAUUUUCAUCCCUACUCUUAUCGACCAUCCAAAUUGCUUAAACAUCUAGUGCGUAUCUCUACAAGAUCAACUAAAUUUUAAUCAAAUUUUUGAAUUACUUAGUUUGGCUAUGCAUUCCAUGAUGAUUUUUCAAAUUGCUCUACCCCUCUUGAAUAUGUAAUUGUUGGAGACGGACGUCCAUUUGAUCCUGUUAGCACCAGUGUAAAGGACGAGCAUGUUAAGGAGAUUUGCAUUCACAUACUUAGCUUCAUUUCGUCUCCUUCUAAUUUCUGCAUUUUUUACAUUUGAGUAAGUCGUGAUUUGCUCAUUGUUAUGCAACUACUAUGGUUUCGGUAAGUCAUUGCUCUAUUCGUAUUUGCAUGCACGUGUUUUUAUUAACGGAAUAUAAAUAAUGCACCAAUAUUUCCAACAGUAACUGUGACGUGAACCUGGGUCUACAGGUGCAACACUAGCAUGUUGAACAUGAGCUCGUGCUAGUGUUGCUGCCGUGCUCAAGGGUCAAGCUGAGAGGGUAAGUUUUGAACGGAUGUCGUUCAGCAUUCAUUAUAAAUUUAAUCUGUUGCACUUGAUAAUGAUCAACUCUUGGUUGUCCUUUGCUUUGCCUUUGUGCACAGCUCUCAUUUUCUCCUACUUGUAUUUUUCUCACUCUUGAAAACAGAGUUGUACUGUCUUCUUGUCUGGAGGACCUCGGAAGUAAUCUUUCAUGGAUCAAUUCCACUCUACGUCCUUUGUUUUUAGAUCGAGAAGAGAAUUUUUUUGGGAAAUAAAGAAGCAGCUCCUAUUGGUUCUAGUGUUGUACUUCUAAACUUCGAGACAAGGGAUAAGUUUGGGUACCAUUGCUACAUACACUUUGAGUAAAAUCCAAACGUCGAAUCAAGUAUCCUCUAGAAAAGGGACUUGCUACUUUUGAGUCAGAUCAAACCUUAAAAUCAGUCUGCAAGAUAAAGUAUUCAAUGUGAUUAUAAGGCUAAAAUUCAAAAGUAAGAGUGAAAAGGUACUUGGGAGGUAAAUUUCGUUGUCACCUCUCCACUAAGAAGAGUACUUGUGACCUUGCCAAGUGGCUAAAGUAAAUUCUCAUGCAUUUUAGAAAAAAUGUUAAAAAUUGCUUCUUGGAAGGUAUCUUUCAAUUUCAAGAGUAUUAUUAAAUAAAUGUUAUAUUGUUAUUAGCAAAGCCAUGGUCCACUUCGUCAUAGAAGACCAUGGCACUAACGAUGAACAAAAUCUAUCCAAAGUCAUUUCUGGAA
rnacentral:lncRNA from 1 species